rnacentral:rRNA from 1 species
UACGUAGGGUGCGAGCGUUGUCCGGAAUUACUGGGCGUAAAGAGCUCGUAGGUGGUUUGUCGCGUUGUUCGUGAAAUCUCACGGCUUAACUGUGAGCGUGCGGGCGAUACGGGCAGACUAGAGUACUGCAGGGGAGACUGGAAUUCCCGGUGUAGCGGUGGAAUGCGCAGAUAUCAGGAGGAACACCGGUGGCGAAGGCGGGUCUCUGGGCAGUAACUGACGCUGAGGAGCGAAAGCGUGGGGAGCGAACAGG